rnacentral:rRNA from 1 species
CAGCCGCCGCGGGAAUACGUAGGGUGCAAGCGUUAAUCGGAAUUACUGGGCGUAAAGCGUGCGCAGGCGGUUUGUUAAGACAGAUGUGAAAUCCCUGGGCUCAACCUGGGAAUUGCAGUUGAUACUGGGUCACUAGAGUGUGGUAGAGGAUAGUGGAAUUUCCGGUGUAGCAGUGAAAUGCGUAGAGAUCGGAAGGAACAUCAGUGGCGAAGGCGGCCAUCUGGGACAACACUGACGCUGAGGCACGAGAGCGUGGGGAGCAAACAGGAUUAGAUACCCCAGUAGUCCCUGUCUCUUAUAC